CCCACUUAUAAAAAAUGAAAAAAGUCGCCAAAAAUGGACGAAAAGUUAAGGCUAUAUAGCCUUACUUUUUUGCAAUCUCGUUCCCCGAGCAUGCCCGUUCGCAGGUUAAGGGUGGGCAUAGCUCUGGAGAAAUCGAAUUGAUUCACGUUGAAUUUCCAACGUGAAUUCUACGCAUGCUCGGCAAUGUUGCAAAAAUAUAAAUAAAGUAUUUAGAAUUUCGCGUCGAAAAUUUGAUACACUUU
rnacentral:lncRNA from 1 species